AGACCGUGGUGCGGGCAUUUUCGAAGCAAGUCCUUAUACCUCUCCCAUGCUUCGUACGAAGACUCAAAGUUCAACUAUGUGAAAGAAGUAAUAUCAUUCCUCAUUUU
rnacentral:snoRNA from 1 species